CCAGUUAAAUAUAAUAUAUUUAUGUACAGACAAAAUACUUAUUCCAAUGAUGGGGCUAUAAAUGGUCGAUAGACAGCCGUCAUCGCACUCAAAGGUAUGACAACGGCGGUGUAUAAACUCAAUACGCUCGGAAUCGUUUUGUUCUUGACCAAAAACGUCAAAUCUCAAACACAGUGAUGGAGAAAGGGUUGAGCCGUAAGACAAAAGUGUGGUUUAUGAAAAAAAACAAAACGAAAACGAAAACAACAACAAAACAAAUAAAUGGAAGUUCUGAUGAGACGUGUUCCCCGAAGUGAAAUCUUUAGAUAAACAACUUUUGUGGACGAAAAGCAUUUGAAAUAUAGAGAAUAAGUCAUUAAAAGAAUAAAUAAAAAAACAAAAAUGUUUCCGACAGUAUUUUUAGUUGGGAUGCGCUGUACUCUGGACUUACUAAUGUAAU